ACAAUCGAGCGCACUAACUCGCACCUUCCGGCAAGAGACGGCGCGGGCGCGCCCCGCCCGCAAGGUUUUUCGGGAGUCACGGUCUGAGGGCGACCCGGGCGACCCGGUCGCCCGUGCCCGGCUGCCACUGACCGCUCCAACGCCGCCAGGGACGACCCGCCAGCUGCCUCCGGAGCCGAGCAGGCCCCGAACCUUCCCAUUCCUAGAUUUCCAGCCGCACAACAGCCGCGGUGCCCCUGGCUCGACGCAGCUGGCCGGAGGCGCGGAGCUGGUCGUUCGUCCCGCCCGCCGUUCCGCGCCCCUCUCCCGGCUCUUGUUUCCUCGCCUCUUAACGAGGCCUUUGUGAGGAAGGUUGCUGGGCCUUGGGACUCUGACGAUCGGCUGGAAACCAGGCCUGGCCCUGUUUCAGCAUCCCCGCGUGCCAAGCCCUGGGCCGGCGUGCGGGUCCCUGCCCCUGCGAGGAAGCUGGGACUUUUGCAGGCCUGGGUGGAGACGUGUACAUAACAGAGGAAGAGUGUGGAGGAUUGGAGGACUCAGGGCAGCACGGCAGAGGCUGGAACUGCUACCAGAGUGGAGACUGAGCUCCUGGAUCGGGUACAUCCUGAAGUCUGCUGCCUUUGGAUUGGCAUUAUGAGAGCUAAUAAAUCCCCCUUUGAAACCCCCAGAGCUCAGAGGGGCUUUCUAGGCCAGGCAUCAUCAAUGUAUUCCAUCAAUAUCAAAUUAAAUGGGUUUGGAUCACACAA